AAGACUAUAGACCUGCGGAGUACCUGCGGAAGGAUCAUUGAAGAAUGCAGGCUCGCACGCACUGUGCGCGUAGGCCACCGCUAUUUACGUGCCAAUUGUAUGUAGAGUGGGUGUUGGUGCUGCCACUACUGGCUGGCGGACUGCCGGCUACUGGCCUCUAGUAGCCUAGUAGCCGUGAGUGGUUUGGCGCGGGGUGGCGGCAUCGGUGGAACAUAGUAUGGAAGCAUUGACUGAGUGUAA
rnacentral:misc_RNA from 1 species